rnacentral:rRNA from 1 species
UACGAAGGGGGCUAGCGUUGCUCGGAAUCACUGGGCGUAAAGGGCACGUAGGCGGGUUGCUAAGUCAGGGGUGAAAUCCUGGAGCUCAACUCCAGAACUGCCUUUGAUACUGGGGAUCUCGAGUCCGGGAGAGGUGAGUGGAACUGCGAGUGUAGAGGUGAAAUUCGUAGAUAUUCGCAAGAACACCAGUGGCGAAGGCGGCUCACUGGCCCGGUACUGACGCUGAGGCGCGAAAGCGUGGGGAGCAAACAGG